rnacentral:tRNA from 1 species
GGGAGCUUAGCUCAGCGGUAGAGCGUCUCCUUUACACGGAGAGGGUCGGGGGUUCGAUCCCCUCAGCUCCCACCA